CAGCUGGUUGGUGGGGUAAAAGCCUACCAAGGCUGCGAUCGGUAGCUGGUCUGAGAGGACGAUCAGCCACACUGGGAUUGAGAACGGCCCAGACUCCUACGGGGGGCAGCAGUGAGGAAUUUUCGGCAAUGGGGGCAACCCUGACCGAGCAACGCCGCGUGCAGGACGAAGGUCUUCGGAUCGUAAACUGCUUUUCUCUGGGAAGAGCGAGGACGGUACCAGAGGAAGAAGCCCCGGCUAACUACGUGCCAGCAGCCGCGGUAAUACGUAGGGGGCGAGCGUUGUCCGGAGUUACUGGGCGUAAAGGGCAUGUAGGCGGUCCGAUCAGUUUGGGGUUACAGCUCCCGGCUCAACUGGGAGAGCGCCUCGAAGACGGUGGGACUUGAGAGCCAGAGAGGGACACAGAAUUCCGGGUGUAGUGGUGAAAUGCGUAGAUAUCCGGAGGAAUACCAAAGGCGAAGGCAGUGUCCUGGCUGAUUUCUGACGCUGAGGUGC
rnacentral:rRNA from 1 species